AAAAAAUAUGUAUAUCCGCGGUGCACACACAAAGUCCAAGGGUCAAUACGCCUCACAGGCAGCACUUGACUGCUUCGGUUUCCUUGCUUACUCGCCGCUGCCUCGCCUCGUCCUCGUCCUCGACGCACCCGACGGCGCUGCCGCCGACGCUGGGCUAGUAUCACGGAUCAAAACGAAAAGAUUGUGAAAAACCGGUGACGCCUAACCAGCCACUUCCUAGUGGAUUUCCGAUUGCAUGAUGAGCGUAUCCCAUGGAUAUCGAAUUCAUACACAACUCGUGAGGCCGAUGACGGACAGAACCUUGGGACGAGGCGCCAUUGUACUAGGUUUUUUUUCUUCUUUCUGGCAGCAUGCAGUAGCUCAUUCAGCUGUGCUAGUGGUUAGCGAGACGAAAGGGAGCGUGUUCUGGCGCUUUGUUGCUUCGGUUUUUGUUUGAGGGUGUCUUCAAACUGAUUGAAGUAUAGCACUACCCGUAUUCAACAAAUCUCUCGCUUCCUCCCAAAAUUAACUACCUAGCUCUGCAACACUGAACACUAAUAUCAAGAACUUCCGUAAACUUGACAUCUGGCUUAGAUGAAGUUUAUUUACACUCGAACUCUGCAUAACCUUUUUUCAAAAAGAAAGUCCAGACACUUCUCACCAAAACAAGCAGCAAAAGCAACAGCGACUUUUGCUAUGAGCCUAUAUAACCCUGGCCCAUAAAUAGGCAGUAAUAUAACUUUAUUUGCACAAAACACAUACAGUAGCUCAACAAACCUUUUUCGAUCCACGCCCAACGCGCGCCUAACAUCUGUAAAUGGCAGUGGAAAGGAGUGAAGGAAGGGGUCACGGUAUCUGAUAUCUCUAUCAUGGGUCGAUCGGGACAAGAUACUUUCGGUCGAUCAGCAACUACAUACAAAAGAUACUUCAGGAAUUACAAGGGCAUGGGUGUGAUCAUCACAUACAUAUUUGUUCUACUAGGGUUACGAGCUAAAAAUUCUUGAUACUGGGGACAGGAGACUUGAUGAGAGAAACUUCAAUCCACUAGAGCCUCCCGGGAAGUAGGAUAUGGUGUAGUAAGCAAGAGCAAGGACCUGGAACAAAAGCGAGAGCAAGGUAAACAGGAGGCUUGAGCGCGCCACAAAACAUACCAAAGUGCAAGUGCACACUGAAUUGUUUCCAAGAGUUAGAAAAGCAUGCUUAGAUCAGGAUAAGGAAAUCAUUAUGCCAAAAAAUACAGAAGGGGUAAGACAUUAUAGCGCUGGUCAUCAAAUCAUGGCCCUGAUUACAAGCUUGUUAAAAGGAAAUGGUGCUGGAAUGAAGACAAGAAAAGAUAAAAACAAACACCUGGAGGAUCGAGAAUAUCACCGACAGAAAAUAGCUGUGAAGCACCAUAGAGACAUAUAUCGUGCCAACCAUGCAUCCAGUGAACCCCACUGUAAACGGUAGCCUCUGAAGAAAAAAGUUAUGCAAGUUCUCUUAUCAGAAACCGCUUGCAUUUGAAGAUAUUGCAUUGCAUCCUCUUAAAAGAAAACUGAGCAAGUACAGGGCCAUUCACUACAUUGUAUCAACAACUUUUGUCAAAUGCUUACGUGCCUAAAAUGGGCGCUUUUGGUUUUCCAAGUAGAAAUAGGAAAGAGCUGUAAAUUUGUACUUUAUAAGCAAAAUCCAGUGAAUUAUAACAUUUAAAUGUUCCUUGCUGAAUUGGAGCAAAACAGAAUCAGAAAUUCCAUGCAUCGACAGAAACCAUUGGUAGUGCAGACCAGCAGUUACACUCGAGUCAAACUGUACUCAUCCACGUGCCACCCUGUGACUUCCACAAGACAAACAAAGGAAAAAAUUGAACCCAUCGACAGGAAUUGGGAUAAUGCAGCUGAUUCCAGACAUCAGACUGAGCCAAAUAUUCUGUCUGCUCAUAGGUGGGGGAGAAAAAAAAAUGCCAAGACUCCUUAUGUUGCGCACCUGAUAUUAGGAGAACCCACAUCAACAGGUGAGCUCACCGGAAGGCCUGUCAGAAGGUUGUCAACUUCCACUGCUCUCACCUCUUUUGGUGUGUUCAGAUCAUAAGCUCUACAAUACAUCCUUAUGCUAUUUUUUCUUAUAUUUCUCUCUUUCUUUCAAGUCUCAAGUUAUUUGGAUUCUUGCAAUAAUAAACUGUGAUAGGCCAGUUGUUGCGGAAUACAAGUUUGAUGCUAAUGGUUCAACAGCAUUCAAAAUAAUUAUUUUAGAAGGACUUUACAAAGUAUUUGCAGUUUUCCAGGUUGUAUAAAACUAUAACAAUAAGGGGGUUCCAAAGAUAUUUUUGCUGGGACAGUUCAUGAGUUAGAAACGUCCUUCAGAUCUAUAAUAAACCUUCAAGACCUGAACCACCAAAUACAUCAAGAGCUAAACCCAACAACCAGAUUGACUCCAGGCGAAUGGCACUUUAGACUAAACACUGAGUUUGAAUAGGUUGACUGAAGGAAAGCCCUACUUGAUCUGUGUGCUCAGUUUCUCUACAUUGCCCUUUCUGACUUGCUUAUUUAGAAUUAAGCACCGCAAUAUUGCUCAGUCACUCCUAUAUUAGUUUCAUUCAAAACAUUCUAUAUAGACAAUAGAAGGGGAUAAUUAUCCCUUAAACUCUUCUUCUCAAGUGAAGAAGUUAUGCACGCAAAGAUCCACGCAAGGGAUUCAUAUAAAGAACAUCCUUGAUGUAAGAUCACAGUCUCAGAGCUAUUGGUUCUCUUUCGUAAGAGGUAAUGGUAUAAUCGGCUCAAUUUCGGCCUUCAAUUCGGGUAGUAAUGAUUACUUUUUUUGUUAUCAGGCACUAUGAGAAACUAAAAGUGUUUUGUAAUGGGAACCCUUCAUAUGUGUAGCAAGUUUCAUACAAAUAACUUGUCAGCAUAGAUUUUCUUUCUCUAGGUUUAUAGGGCCCUAUUUUCGAGAUUUGGGGAAGAAAAUACUUACCAAAUCAACUCAGAAAGAUUAUAUGGAGCACAAUCAACCAAAGAGGACUGAAGGACAAUAUCAUAACUACGUUGUCUAUUUGCCAGUCGAUCCACCCACGUUUUGUCUUGACUCAUUUUUUCCUAUCACUAUCCAAAGCACUACCUAACUUCUCUCGGCACAACCAAAUGACCACCAGCUAUGCUACAGCUGAUCCUCAAGAAAUUUUCAUUACUAUGCAGGUCCCAUGAUGUUCAUAUAGACAGGACGAAACUAGCAGAUGACAGUGUUUAGCUGUCUGCAUUGAGCACUUAGUAAUGAAUUAAGAUUUGUAACUUGUUUCCACAUGUUCCAAAGCUGUAAUCGUACUUGACUAAAAAUAACAGCGGAUGGAUUUUGAAAGAGUAAUCUCUACUCCCUCACUAGCAAACAAGACUAUUUGUAAUUUCUUCAAAAACUAAAACAAAUGAACAGCCAUAGCUGCAAUCUGCAGCAAUAGAGUACCUCUUUUGACGUCAUAUGGGCGAGCUGGUUGGCGGGACCUUUGAGCGCGAAGAGCGACGCGAUGAUGAGAGCACAGCCAAGCGUGAAGCAGAUAGCGAACUUCUGCGGCAUGAGCACCAUGACGGGGAGGAAGAGCGUGAAGGCGAUGAAGACGAAGAAGAUGCCGGUGGCGAGGAAGAGCCCGAAGUACAUGAGUGCCUUCCCCGAGGGAAAGCUGCUGGUGGCGCCCUGGAAGCUCCCCGGCAGCUCCCGCACGCCCUUGGACAUCCUGCAGCCCACGGAUCAGAACGCGCUAGAUCAGGGGCAGAGAGCUAGCUAGCUAAUCGCACCCAGAUCCCUCGGCUCGGAGGGCAGCGGAGCUUGGCGGGAGCGGAACAGAUCUGAGGGGCUAGGGCUGGGGAGAAGGGGGCUUACACAUUGAAGGUGCCGGAGACGGUGUCGUUGGCGGAGCGGACGGCGGCCUCGAUGUCGAACGGGAGGGGGGAGGAGGAGGACACGUCCGAGCGGGUGGCGGCGUAGGAGUUCCAGUCGGCGAGCAGGGAGGGCUGCGACUCCGCGGCGGUGCUGGGGGAGGCGGUGCCGCCGGUGAACCAGGACUGCGCCGUCUUCUGCAUCGCGGGGAUGCGGGUUUAGCUGCCGGCGGCGAGGCGGGAUUGAGGUGGGCUGGGACGCGGCUGUGCGUGUCGAGUCGCGGUGGAUGGAGGGAGCGAAAGAGAUCGAGGGAGAAAACGAGCAGACUCGUAAUUAUUGAACGUUUUUGCAAGACGAUGAUAACUUUCCGGCGAAGUAUAUCCAGCGAAAACCCGAAAGCUUUCCUUCAAAAAGAAGACACCAAAGUGCAUUUUCUCUGUGAAAUCCCCGGACCAAAGGUACAAAUACCUCAAACGUAAUAAAACUUACAUCAAUGUCUCUCGACCACCGAACAACCAUUGCGUUGCAACAAUGAAUCACUGACGCAUUAAUGUCAUCGCUCUCAUCCCAGAGGCGGACUGAACUUAUCGACCAUAAUUGAAAAGUCUUCGUGCAUGUACCCCUAAGGAUGAAAGCCUUAGAGUUAUAGUUGUCAACAUCAAACCCUUGAAUCUGGAGCACCCGAUACCGCCGUCACAAACUUGUGCGAACUCUUGAUGCUAGCAAGUAUUGAUUUUACGGCAACAUCUAACAUGCUUAAUUCCACAAACUAUUUUAUAUACUGGGUGACAUUUCUGGUCUAUUUACUAUAAGUGUAACAUUCCAACCAAACCCAUCGGUUCAACCAUAAGUUUCUGGUUGUUGCACACACACAUGACGAAAAAACCUAAGCUUGUCGGAGCUCCGUCGACUCCGUCCUGAUGGACGAACUCGAGGAGAAUCGAAACUCAGGAGACCAACUUGAGGAUGAAGCACCGCCGUUUGUCCAAGCGCCGCCCACGCGAAACUUAACAAAUCCUAACCUAAACUUUUAGGCAGAGUCGAGGCGUUGGGAUUCCCCUCCCCGCCACGAUCAUUAUGCUAAGCUAACGGAUGGGUCUUGUCCAUCACAUCAUUCUCCUAAUAAUGUGAUCUCGUUCAUCAAAUGACAACACAUGUCUAUGGUCAGGAAACUUAACCAUCUUUGAUUAACGAGCUAGUCUAGUAGAGGCAUACUAGGGACACUUUGUUUUGUCUAUGUAUUCACACAUGCAUCAAGUUUCUGGUUAAUACAAUUCUAGUAUGAAUAAUAAACAUUUAUCAUGAUAUAAGAAAAUAAAAUAAUAACUUUAUUAUUGCCUCUAGAGCAUAUUUCCUUCAUGAAUAAGCUACAACGCGGCGCUCCACACCAAGUUGAUCUCCACCCUACACGACAACGCGGUGGGCGGCCACUCCGGUAGCACCGCAACCUACCAUCGUUUCAAGAAGUUGUUCUUCUAGAACAACAUGAAGGCCGGCGUUGACAACUACAUCAAGCCGUGUCUGACCUGCCAGCAGGGCAAGCAUGAAUAGAGACACCCAACCAACAAGCUCGCCCUGCUGCUCGUGCCAUCUGCGCCCUGACAAGACCUCACGAUGAAUUUUGUCGAAGGCCUGCCCAAAUCCGAGGGGUUCGACUCCAUCCUCGUCGUCAUGGACAGACUCACCAAGUUCGCGCACUUCAUUCCGCUCGACACCCGUUCACGGCAACUCAGGUUGGCCGGCAUUUUGGGACAAUGUGGUCAAGCUCCACGGGCUGCCCCAAUCAAUCGUCUCCAACUGCGACCGCGUCUUCACAAGCGCGCUCUGGCGUGAGCUCUUCAUCAACGCAGGGACAAAAAUCAAGCGAGACACUGUCAUCAUCGGAAACCACGUUCGUGAAUUCUUCACACUUUGGAUGCUUGUUCAUGAUUUCCAUCUUGACGAGUUUGCCGAAUAUGACAUUGUUUGGAAGGACUCCUUGGACGGGAUAUACUCGGCGGCCACCGCCUACAAGGCGCAGUUCCUUAGUUUGACUCUCUCUCCCAUGAAUUUCAUGGUUUGGAAGGUUUGGGCGUCCCUAAAGGUUAAGUUCUUCGCAUGGCUAGUCUUGCAAGGCCGGAUUUGGACCACCGAUCGCUUGGAGCGCCGAGGUUGGCCAAAUUGUGGCAUAUGCCCUCUUUACAAAAGAGAACAAGAAACGGGCAUCCACCUCUUCGUCAAAAUGUCGUUUCACCACGAGGCUUUGAAACAUGGUCAUCGCAAAAUAUAGGCUCGUGCACAUAGACACCACCAUUUGGCAUCUUCAUGAGUCGCUCUUCGGUUGGUGGGAUAGGAGAACCGACAUUACGAAUCCCAACAGGAAGCUAUGACCUCCCUUACCAUGCUAGUGUCUUCAACUAUAUGAAACAAGCGAAAUGCUAGGAUUUUCAGGCACAAGAGCGCGCCACCCCUGAUCCUCCUCAAAAUAGUGCCUUUGGGUUACCGCCGGUGCUAAGAAACUAGGAAAAAUUGUAUUAAGCAAGUAAUUGCCAUGCCGUGUGGGGUGAGAACCUGUAACCGACUUAAACUCUAUUCUUCUCUCAUUUAAUAGAUGAGGCAAAUCUUUUGCCUCCGUUUAAAAAAAGGACAAAGACACAUUCACUCUCUCAGCUUUCACCAUUUCUACCCUGGACCCGCAGCAGAAUAAAAAGAAACAGAGCAAUCUGAUCCCAGCAGGCACAGUCAUCCAUCGUGUCCACGCGUUGCGUGAUCCGUGUUACCAACGUCUAAUAAAACAACUAAUGCACAUCGCAGCAGGUAGAGAGUUCUGCAAAAGAAUAUGUUUGCACAGCACAACAACAUCAGACCAUGUCAACGUCCACAGACGUCCCAUUCGAUGAACCCUUCGUAUCUCCGACAUCUCUGCUCUGAAGUUCCUCGGAGGCGAUGUCAGCCUUGACCUUGCGCUCCACCUUCCGCGACCCGUCGAUGGUGCCCGCGUCGAUCGCCUCCAGGUACAGUGCCCUGGCCAGGCUCAUGAACCGUCUCCUGAAGCUCGGUAUCCGGGACAUAUUGGCCACGAUCCCUUGCAACCUGUUGAUUGAUGAAUAUGUUACUCAUUCUGUAGCUGUUUCAAAUUUAUAUUUGGGAGUUGACUGUGGCAAAGUUGGAAGGGUGUAUAGAAAAAGACACCUUCUGAUGAUCGCCUGUAGCUGAGCUCUCUUCACGCCGUCGCUUGACGGGAAACCGCAGUCGUCCCAAUCCGACGGUUUUUCGUUCGCGUUCGUCAUGAUGAGCUUCUGCAAGCACAGCUCCUCGUCUUCGGUGAGCUCCAGUUUCUUCAUCUGCUCCUUCAGAACCAGCAGUGGUCCGAGCAUCCAGUCGAACACCUUGUCCUUUGGCCAAUUGAAGUUGGUCACCUCAACGUCAUCAGCUGCAACCAACAAGGAAAUGGUAACCAUGAACCAUGAAGUUUUAAAUUCCUUAAUGUUAUGCUAAGGCUGCCAGGGCAUCAUGCAUACAUAUGAGCAAACCGUGCGUGUCGUGUUUCGCGGAUCGUAUCAGACAGUGAAGGAUGCACCAGGCAGGUAGUUUUAUGCUCAGCUUCUUUCCCUUUCCUUUGGUUAUAAAUUCCUCUAUAUCUUCAGAGCUUAUCAGUCCCUCGCUCAGUAAUAUCCUCCCAUUUAUCUCGCAAGAUCGGAAGAGCCAAUCCCAUAUCUGUGCAAGUUCAGUCGUCGAGAGAAUGGUUAAUCUUAGCUGUUAGAGCAGAGAUAUAAUCGUAUAGAUCAUUGAAGACGACGAGAUGUUCAUGUACUUGAAUGGGUCUUAGUCUUUGGAUAGUUUCCAUGAAUGUCUUUGACCGGUGUAGAACCCUCCUAUGCUUACGCUGGCCUUGAUGUUGCUUCUCUGCAGAUGCAGCUGUAACGUUGUGCUCAUCUUUGUUGCGGCCGGUCUCAUACUUCGCAGAACCCGCUUUCCGGUACUUGGGCCUGUCUAUUGGAAGUAGUUUACUGCCAAGUAGAAUAAUUGCUAUGCAUGAUCUUCUAAAAAUAUUGCUAUGCAUGGAAAAAGGAGGUCAUGCAACUAAGUACUAACAAACUUCUAACAUAUGAAGCCAUAAUCGCAGUAAAAAUAACUGCUAAAUCACACCUUGGCAAACAAGAACCUUCUCUCAAAUAAAGAAGAUCAUUUGUGUAUUCAUCAUACAAUGCUACUGCAGAGAUCAUGUAUGAUAGCCCCAUUUGAAAUGAAGCCUCCUGCACACGAUUACAGAGAUGUAUAAGUAGUGGUUCAAGUGAGUCGAAAGAGGUUCACUAUUAUUUAACAAUAAAAGACCUGAUAAGCAAUUAAUCCAGCAUGGAGGCCAAAGAAGAAGCUGCUAAGAAAUGAUGCAAUCACUCCUGCAAUGACGGCAAGCGGCCACAAUAUAAUGGCCAAACCAGCGAAAGGGACACAAACAGUCUCUAGAAAAGGCCCUUCCCUCCCUACUAGAUCCUCGCAGAGUCUUUGCCAUCCUUUCAACAACAUGCAGGGGCUUUUCCACAAUGCCACCCCAGUAAUCAUCAAUACAUCCAGAGGAACGGCAACCAGCGCAACAAGGAAGCUCCGCGGUAGAUAAGACAACCUUCAAUCAUAGAAGACAAGCAGAAUGUAUUAGUGCUAGAGGAUGUUUCAAGGUGAGUGCAUAAUUAGGACCCGAUUCUCCAUUUUGACGACAUGAAUAUUUAACAUGUCAUAUACUUGAUGUCAGUAGGUUCUUCGUCAUCCCCCAUUUUCUCGGAAAGCUCGUCCAUGAAGGAGAAGUAUGAGUGGAAGCAGAAGUCGGUAACAUCACGCACCACCAUACAAGCUCCCCUUAUUGUGCUAGCAGUACCAUCCUGUGACAUAGCAUUACUCCGUUAAUUGGACGCAUUAUUUUGAUUUGUAGUACUCCCUCAGACUCGGAAAAGAAGGCACACACGCUUUUCAAAAUUCAAGUUCAAACAUGAAUUUAACCAAUAAAUUUUGGAUUUUGUGCCACAAAAAUUAUACCAUCAAAUUUGUGUCCACUGGUAUAACGUUGAUGGUCAAAAUUAAAUCUUGAAAAACAUGCAUGUCCUCAUUUUGAAGUCGGGGUAGUACAUCCAGAAAACUUAAUGAACCAAAUCCACAUUCCAAGUUUCAGCAGCACGUACGUACCAAAAAGCAAUGAGAGAGCUUGUCCGCGACACCCUCGCCAACAGCCUCAAAAGUCGCCAUGAGGGGAGUGAACACUCCAUAACCGAUACCAACCAGAAGGCUCCCUACAAUGCCAAGCACCGGCAACAGGAGCAACGGCAGUGGCAGGAAUACCACGGCAAGGAUCUUCAGAACCGGCCCAAUUCGCUUCGUGCUACAAACCAGAGUUUGCAGAAUAGUUUGAUCACAUACGACCAACACAACGUUUCACUCAAACUUAUCCAGCAAAUUUUAACUCGUUUAGGAAUUUAAAUUUGUUUAGGCGUGCAGGCAUUAAAGAGAAAAAUGUGGGGGGGAGUCGGCAUGAUGAAAAAAACUGAAGAUGUAGUGGCAAAGUGUGGUGUAGCAGCAUGUAACGGUUUUCUCUAGAAAACGUAGACCGCCUGGGUGCCCAUAUGCGAUGAACAAUACAAAACGGUUUCAGCCUAAUCCAGGCCAUUAAUUCCUGAACCGAGCACAUCGGGUUGUGGCACAUGUGUAUAAAAUGCCCGGUCUGGACCAAGCGCUGCAGCCACACACCAAAACACUGCAGCGAGGCCUGGGGCCGGAAGGGGAAGGGAUAGUGUGGGAGCAAGGUAUGUGCUGCUAAUGUGUUCAUCCUCGAUCUUCUUCUCCUCCUAAGAUAUAGUUUCCUCAAGUGCUCAUCCAUUUCCCUUCCCCUUCAAUGCUUGUACAGGACAUCCGUGGAGAUGGGCCGUGGGCGAUCAAAGGCGUACUCGCCAGUACCUGCUCCCAAUGGAGCUCCUUCUUCCAUGAAGAGGACACCAGUUGUGAACACGGCGUUACUUCAACUCCAUCAUGCUGCACUUGUGGGGUACUGGAAUCCUCUUUGUCAUCAAAGGUGUGUUUGUUGGUACCGGCGUGGAGGAUCUGUUCAAGUUUAAAAGUGCUAGGGAACAAUAACCGCAUUUUCAGCAUGGUUCCCAUUUUUAGGAUAGAUCCAAGAACCAUGAUGAUGGACAUGGGGGGUGCCCUAUAGCUUUGGCUACUUUCCUAGAAUUGCGGCUGUUGGUUGGAUCUAUCCUAAUGAGAGCCAUGGGGAAAAUGCGGUUGUUGUUCCUAACACUUUUAACUUUUAACUUGCACAGAUCCUCCUUGCCGAUACAAGCGAGCACACCUUUGAUGAGAGGAUUCCAGCACCCCGCAAGGGCAUGAUGGAGUUGAGCGCCGUGCUCACAAUCGGUGUCCUCGGGAACAGGCACUGGCGAGUACGCCUUCGAUCUCCUGCGGCCCAUCUGCACAGAUGUCCUGUACAAGCAUUGAAGGGGAAGGGAAAAAACGAUGAGCACUUGAGAAGACAUACAUCUUAGGGAGGGGAGAGGAGGAUGAAGACACACUGGCAGCACAUACAUUGCUCCUACCCUAUCCCUUCCCCUUUCCCUUCCGGCCCCAGGCCUCGCCGCGGUGUUUUGGUGUGUGGCUCGGCUGGCAUUUUAUACACAUGUAAUGAAUAAACGAAUAAAAAAUGUGGGGAAAGUAAGUCGGCAUACGCUAGCACGCAGCAGUACGUCCAGACGAAAUGCGCAGGCCACAGGCCGAUGAUGACGGCUGAAUCGCCGAGGAAAACGAUGGCCGCGACGACCGGGCCGAUCAAAAGAGCUGCAAAUAAAAAGAAACACGCACACUUUCUCAGCCAUCGUCAGGAUGGGUAUCAAGUAUCAUGAACACAACGAAUACUACUCCGACUUGGAGGACAAGGCAGCGGUAACCGCCUCGGACAUUAGAGGACAGGGGGAGGCGGGGAUGGUGUUGGUUGGUUACCUUUGGCGGAGCCGAGCAGCAGGAGGAGGACGAAGAAGGGCAAGAAUGACACGAGGCUCCAGAGCUUGGCGAUGAAGCCCACCGGGACGUUCAUGGAUCAGCAGCAGCCAGCCAACCAGUUGCUUCCUCUUGCCCUGACCCCUGAGCCUGACGAGAACGAACCAGAGCUUGAAACCCAGAGAAAGGGAAGAAGGAAAAGGAAGAAGCCGGAGGUCCCUGUCGGCAGGUGAGAGUCCCGAGCGGUGUGCUGUGGAGCUGCCGUGGCGCGACACGUGCUGCUCUGCAUGGGGCGCUCUCCAGCACACGCAUAAUUUUCUACUCCAAAGGCCAUGGCGAGCACACCUGUUUCCCUGCAGCAGAUCUCAAGAGUUUCAACGCACAAGGGAAAAUUCCUAUGACUUGCGCCAAUUUGUAGUCAUACGCAUCAACAAGAUUGUGUUCUCGUCUCCUUUUGGUCCAUGUUGUGAAGAGAGAAAUGAAGAUAGGUCAAAGUCAAAAAAUACUAGUGCUUCAGCGGCAGGAAUCAUAGGGUUUCAGAACUGCAGAAACUUGAAAAUAGACAUUACACGUUCAAUUCAAGCGCCUUUGCGUUGGUUAAGUUGACCGGUCACAAACGUCAGGAAAUAGGGACAACAGACUUGCACCCCAUCAAUUAUUUCACCCAAAAAAAUAGCAGGUAUAGCAUGUGACGGGAGAAGAGCCUGUAGUAAAGCUUAAGCUAGCGUGCAUUUUUUUUUUGUCUAAAAAUGCAAACAACAAAUUCUGGGGUUUCACUCUUUCGACAAACGCUUGCGGCCCAGAUGGUGGUGGCUGGAAACCGGUACACAGGACAAGCAGCGCUCCAUGUUCAGAUGGCCUCCGCUUCGUCGCCGCCCCCGACAGAUUAAAGCUAUCAUCUAUCUUACGUGAAUGAUCAUCUUGUUCAAGAGAUCCUUGUGCUCCGGAAAAUAUUCCAGCAACUCAGCUUUGGUCACCCACGCGUGGUCCUCGCACCUCCUGAUGUCCAAAUGCGUGGUGCCGAUCACUUGCGACUUGAAGAAGAACCGCU
rnacentral:lncRNA from 1 species